AGCAGGAGUUAAUUGCAAGCAGACUUAAAAGGAUAUGCUGACUGAAGAUUGCUGAACUACAGUAGGAGUGUGAAGGUUUCACAAAAGGACAAUAGUAACUGAAGCAAUGAGCCGUUAUGUUUAUGUUUCCAUGGUGAUGGUUCACUCCCCCCGCCUCACGCCCCUGUGACGGGUCCUGGGCACCGUCGGCUGCCGAUGACGUCACCUAGACUCCGGAGUGGGCGGCUACGGCGGUGAUUCCUGUGCACGGUGGCUUCCGGGGCCGGUGGCCGAGCGAGCGGUGUUACCGGCUGUGUCAUCCACCUGCGCCACAGAGACAGUCCCAGCAUGCACGGCCCACUCUCCACCGGUGUCUGGAAGCGGGGAUGAAUGGACAUGCUCAGCACACUAUUUAGAUGUCUUUGGAGCAUGCAUGAUGAAGCACAGAUAGAGGAAAAAUUGUCACUUACUUUUCUGCCCCCUCCCUCUUAUUUUCUUAGUCAAUAAAUGUGAAGCAGAAACAUUACGGUUCAUCAGACGCUUUUCUGAAUCAGUAAACUGUGUAUAGUGUUUAUUUACUGCAUGUUUUGUAUAUAUACUGUAUGUUUUCUCAUUAUGGCCUGUAGCAAAUUUGUAACGUUUGAUGGGGGUUUCUUUGAACCUUUCACAGAACAGCACUGUAUUUAUCAAAGAGAAAAAAGUCCUUUUGGAAACAAUCUGUGCAGAAUCACAGGAGACAGGUUAAAAGCUUUUGUGACGUUUUCAUUUAUUUGAUAAGGAUGUUGAUUUUAAACCAAGGUUGCAACUGGUGGGAAACUGGAGUAUACAAACCAACAGGUAACAUCAAAGAGAAUGGAAAGCAACAUUUUCAUUUAAACAAAUAUUGUGUUUGUAUAGUUGUGUCUGCACAUUGUACUGAAUAUUGUUUAAAUAGCAAAGUGCUGAGAUUAUAAUUAAAAUAGA